UUAUCAAAUAUUUAUUUGCCAAGUAAUUUUCUGUAGCUGAUCUUUUACAACCCAAAGUGUUUUUUGGAAAACAGCCUCGCUUGUUUCUUUCAGUCUGGGGAGGUGGGAGGUGGCCCUGUUAUCUGAGAUGUGGAAAAUGAAAAGGGAUAUAAAUAAAACAGAUCAUCUGUCCUCCCGCAGGAGGCAGAAACAUGGCGAGGAUUCGUUUAACCUACAACAGUCACUGAGAACCUAAUGAAGACAGGUUCUCAGGGUAUGGGCAAAUUGGCUUUUCUUCUGUCUAAUUCAAGAGCUGCUUGCCCUUUGAAACUCUCCAGGCCUUUACUGAGAGGCUUACUACCCUGUACAAAUAUCCCGCUGUAUGGAGGAUGGGACAUCCAUGUCUCUUCACAAGCUCCCCCAGAGCCCACACACCUUGGAUGUGGGAAGUUUCCAUUCGCUGAUCAGCCACUUAAGACUGGAACCGGCUCAGAGCCGAGAGAGUAUUUGAACACCCGGAAGAAGCAAAGAACGCUGUCCGGACUGCUGCAGACAACGGCGAGUGCAGAUGUGUUCAUCAGGACAAAUGCUGCUGCAGGCACUGGGGGUGGCUUAAAGGUUAAGAGGAUUUGCUGGACCGUCAGGAGGAGCAGAGUUUGGACCUGAGCACACUUGUGACAAGCUGGGCGUCCUGCACAUACCUGUAACCCAAACUCUUAAUGGCAGCAGAGACUGGAGGUGUAGAAGAGACUGCCUCAAAGAAAUAGUCAGGGAAGAGGAGGGAGGGACCCUCAACUCCCGCUUCAGGCCUCCGAGCGUGUGCAGAAACACUCACAGGCUCAUGUUUAUAUUCCCAGACACAAACAAACACGUGAAUAACUGGAUAAAUAUGUCAUAAGUAUGUACACCACAUGUCUGCCUGGUAAUCAGGAAGGUUAGAGGAGGAAUCAGAGCUCCUGGAACUGCAGUUAGACAGCCCAGCAGGUGCUGGGAACAGCACUCAGGUUCUCUGCAAUAGAAUGCGAUCCAUAGCUGAGCCAUCCCUCUAGCCCUUUAGGUACACUGUUACUGAUUCUUGGAGAAUUUUACGCAGUGUAUCUUGAUCAUGUGCACCCCAGCUUCUCCCCUCUACUCUUCCCUGACUGCCCCCUUCCCUAAACCCUCAAAUUCAUGUACUCUUUUUACUGAAGUUUGUCCUCUCUGAAUACUUUGGGGGGAAAUGGGGAGUCAUCCACUGGAGUGUGGUCGCCCUACCUGGAGCCACAUCCUUAAAGAAAACGGAGCAUCCCUCCCCUAGAAACCACCAACUUGCAAAUGGUAUUUUUAAAAUGUUACUUAAUAAUUAUUAAUUAUUAAUAUGACCGAGGAAGCCCCCAAUAACCAAGGCAGAGACCUGAGGAUGUUUAAAUCAGUUUUAGCACAGUCGUUGGGCGAAGGACCCCUAACAUAUUUUUCUAUACACUAGACCUGUUAAUUGUCCAGCUAUGCUCCCCAAGUACUUGUUUGACUCGCACCUAGAUCACUGCUGCUCCAUCAGCCUGGCCACAGGUUCCUGGUUCAUCAGGUCUAAUGGAGACCACUGGUCCCCUCCUUCUUCUUUCACCUUUUCCUCCCCCUUACCCUCUCUCCCUUCUCCCCCUUCCCCCUCUCCCCGGUGGGCCCAACCUGUGACCCUGUAGAGUCUGGUAAUGGAAACCCUACCUACCUCUCUUCUCCCCAGCAAUUGACUGACAGCCACAUUUAUUUAACCAAUAGUUUUAAAUUGCGGGGCAAGGUUUAUACAGCCAGGCUGGUUUUGAGAGUUCUGGUGGCAAACAGAUCUUAGGGUACAGAACUUAGCAUUUGAAUACACAGCAGCAGCAGACCAAUCCCAAUGUCCGCUGUCCACAGCCCUUGAGCUCCAGACGUCCCUUCCACUCCAUGUAAGAGUGUUCACUGCCCUGCGCUUGUCGAAGCAACCACAACUCCUGUGAAGGUUAAAUCAAUAGUUUUUCAAAGAAUGACAGUAGAUUUUUAAGUCUCUCAGUAUCCUGGGUUUCAGGAUUCCAAACAGUCGGAAAGCAAGACUCAUAAAGACACAGUGGCUGCCCCAUCUCGAUUACUGAGGGGCAAGGCAGGAGAAGGAAUUGUUCUCCUUGUGGGGUAACUGCUGAGUCCCAGGAAGAAGUCACAGGUAGCUGGGGGACAUUUCGUGUUGUGUAACAAAUGAUUUACUUUGAAUGUAGUGAGAUAUCUCCCAGCUCAUGUCCUGAGAGAUGAUCUUUGUUAACUGGGUACCACAGGUUAGCCAGAUAGUAAUGUGUGCUUUGGGAAAAUUCCUGAGGACUGAUCUGAGCCACAUGGGCAGGCUAUAGAAAGGCCGGAGGCCAAGUCAUAUGUUCUCUCUGCCUAUAUUUCUUAUUCAUGCCAAUAGAAUGGCAUGUCCAAACUUCUUGGAAAAUACAUGAAUUGAUACUUCAAGAAGAUUCCACCCAACAUUCCUCUCUUGGUCGAUACUGCUCUGUAUUCUUCUCUGGUGAUAUAGGAAGUCCCUGGGCUUGAGUAAGUCUCCAGCACUGUAUCCCAAAACUGUACCGACAGCUCCAAACACAUCCCAGAUGAGAAAGAUAAGAAGGAAUAUUUGUUAGUGAACAAAACCAGUGAGAAGGCUUUGAACACAAAGCUCUAGACACUGAUAUGGCUUGCACCAUAAGCGUCCCUCCCCCAGGCCCUAGUGUUAAACAUUGUUUGACAACUGCCAGUCCCUGGGGAAGUGAUCGAACCAUGAGUUGCUGGCCUGGACCACAAAUGAAAUCAUGAUGGAUUCAUAAUCUGGCAGCAUUAUGGAAAGAUGUUGGGGGCUUAUUUGGAAGUGGGACUCCCCAGGCAAGGGAAUAAACUUAGCGUCCUGUGUCAUGAUCAGA
rnacentral:sRNA from 1 species